rnacentral:rRNA from 1 species
GACGAACGCUGGCGGCGCGCUUAACACAUGCAAGUCGAGCGAGAACCAAACCUUCGGGUCUGGGGACAGCGGCGAACGGGUGAGUAACACGUGGGUAAUCUGCCCUCGGUUCUGGGAUAGCCCGGGGAAACCCGGAUUAAUACCGGAUGGCCUCUCGAGCUUUCGAGCUCGUGAGAAAAGGUAGCUUCGGCCUCCGACCGAGGAUGAGCCUGCGGCCGAUUAGCUUGUUGGCGGGGUAACGGCCCACCAAGGCGACGAUCGGUAGCUGGUCUGAGAGGACGAUCAGCCACACUGGGACUGAGACACGGCCCAGACUCCUAC